CCCACCACGAGUGACGGUCGUUCCUGCACAGCUGGCAUUAAUCCAUCACUGCCAUAAUCUAAGCGGAACACGCAGCGGCACCGAUGAGUUACGACGGUGCCGGCGCUAUGUUAUAUAAGCUGGCAAGCACGCAAGCAAAGCAGUCCUGGUCGACGCAGUAUGUACUACGUGGUCGUGGGGCUCACGGUGAGAAACGACGCGCGAAGAACGACCACGUUGAAUGAGCAAGGCCUUGCACGCAAGUAACGCGAGCUGAUUUGAAAGCUCGAGCACUCAUGGACGUCGGCGACGCUUAUAACGAGCGCAACCACGUGUCUUUUGACGCACGAAGCCUGCGCCCCAUUUAUAGCCGGAAUCGACCAAUCGGCGAGCGAGGCGGACCACGAGAAACGAAUAGGCACGGAGGGAAAAAUGAAGAUUUGCACAUAAUGCACCGGGGCCGCUCCGACUUUCCUUUUCCGAAGGCUAUUUUCGCGUCGAGACAUUGCAAGACUACGCACUUCAAGACGCACAUUCGCAGUCGCCGCCAAUCGGAAGACGGAACACACGGAACGCUGCAAUGCGUUCAACGACUUCUCUCGCGACUUUACGAAGCCUCCUUCCCAACGCACGUCACAACAUAUGCACCUUUUGCGCAAGCGUAAUGCGCCGUCUGUUUCCGAGAGCGCACAUACCAUGGAGGAUGAGAGAGAGUAUGGCGAGCGACGAGUGAAGAAUUAUAAUUAUAUUAAAGCCAUCUGCUUCUGUCGAACUGCUGUACCUUUUUUUUUUUUCGCGAACAGAUGGGAAAUGCACUUUGUUACUAAGCACUAAGUACUGGUGCACCUCGAAGGAGUCC